GCCGGUGUAGCUCAAUGGCUAGAGCACUUGACUGUGGAUCAAGGGGUUAUGGGUUCAAGUCCCGUCGCCGGUA
rnacentral:tRNA from 1 species